rnacentral:rRNA from 1 species
GAUGAACGCUGGCGGCGUGCCUAAUACAUGCAAGUCGAGCGAACGGACGAGAAGCUUGCUUUUCUGAUGUUAGCGGCGGACGGGUGAGUAACACGUGGAUAACCUACCUAUAAGACUGGGAUAACUUCGGGAAACCGGAGCUAAUGCCGGAUAAUAUUUUGAACCGCAUGGUUCAAAAGUGAAAGACGGUCUUGCUGUCACUUAUAGAUGGAUCCGCGCUGCAUUAGCUAGUUGGUAAGGUAACGGCUUACCAAGGCAACGAUGCAUAGCCGACCUGAGAGGGUGAUCGGCCACACUGGAACUGAGACACGGUCCAGACUCCUACGGGAGGCAGCAGUAGGGAAUCUUCCGCAAUGGGCGAAAGCCUGACGGAGCAACGCCGCGUGAGUGAUGAAGGUCUUCGGAUCGUAAAACUCUGUUAUUAGGGAAGAACAGAUGUGUAAGUAACUGUGCACAUCUUGACGGUACCUAAUCAGAAAGCCACGGCUAACUACGUG